rnacentral:snRNA from 8 species
AUACUUACCUGGCAAGGGAGAUACCGUGAUCAAGAAGGCGGUUCACCCAGGGCGAGGCUCAGCCAUUGCACUCCGGCUGUGCUGACCCCUGCGAAUUUCCCAAAUGUGGAAAUCUCGAUUGCAUAAUUUAUGGUAGUGGGGGACUGCGUUCGCGCUCGGCCCCUG